CUCUUCUUAACUGUCUCUGCUUGCAAAUGAUACUGGUCACCUCCAUCAUAAUCCAUUGACUGGAAUCAAGCAUAUGCCCGCCAGCCCAACAUUAAAAAGCUUACUCACUCUAGUUUUUGACCUGUACAUUCCAUUGGCUGAACACAACUAGCAGACAGAAGUCAAGAACACCAAGUGGAUAAAGUCCAUAAAGAUCAGCCUCUGCAGAAUGGAGAAAGAUGGAAAGUAAAUGUAGAAUGAGCAAAUGGGGAAUAUCCA
rnacentral:lncRNA from 1 species